CUUUAUUGGAGAGUUUGAUCCUGGCUCAGGAUGAACGCUGGCGGCGUGCCUAAUACAUGCAAGUCGAGCGAACUUCAUAAGAGCUUGCUCUUAUGAAGUUAGCGGCGGACGGGUGAGUAACACGUGGGUAACCUGCCCAUAAGACUGGGAUAACUCCGGGAAACCGGGGCUAAUACCGGAUAA
rnacentral:rRNA from 1 species